rnacentral:rRNA from 1 species
UCUGUUCAACGGCCGCGGUAUCCUAACCGUGCGAAGGUAGCGUAAUCACUUGUUCUUUAAAUGAGGACUAGUAUGAAUGGCACCACGAAGGUUAUACUGUCUCCUUUUUCUAAUCAGUGAAACUAAUCUUCCCGUGAAGAAACGGGAAUAAAAAUAUAAGACGAGAAGACCCUAUGGAGCUUUAAACAAACAUACACCUGCCUCUUUACCAAAAAUUUCAGAAGACAAAUAACUACCCGGGCAUUUUGAUAUAGCGUUUUAGGUUGGGGUGACCGCGGAGCAAAAAAUAACCUCCGCAGCGAACGGGAAUAUUCCCUAAACCAAGGGCCACAACCCCAAGUAUUGAUAAAUCAACACUAAUUGACCCA